UCCACUGGGGAUGCACGGAUCUAUGUGAGUCCAUUAUAGAUCAGGACGAGAAGAUUCAAGGAAAUUCAAGUCAGAACAGUGUUGGGAAGUGGCUCACCACCACUAUCACUGAGGAAGAUGCAAAGCAAGAGCCACUGCAGGAAGCAG